UACGAACUGUACAAACGUUAUUCGGAAUCACUGGGCUUAAAGGGUGCGUAGGCGGCCAUUUAAGUAGGGUGUGAAAGCCCCCGGCUCAACCGGGGAAUGGCGUCCUAAACUGGAUGGCUGGAGUGAGAUAGAGGUGUGUGGAACUUCCGGUGGAGCGGUGAAAUGUGUUGAUAUCGGAAGGAACGCCGGUGGCGAAAGCGACACACUGGGUCUCAACUGACGCUGAGGCACGAAAGCCAGGGGAGCGAACGGG
rnacentral:rRNA from 1 species